UCAGAAGAGUCCCUCAUGGCCUGUUAAGAAACUUCAGAGCAUAGGCUGCAGUUCUCAAUAUCUCUUUACCAACCCAGUACUGUAUAUGUAUUUUCACGUGGGCCAAUCACAUGCAUACAUUUGCAAUACCUUGCUCUUCUGAAUCAGGAUCGAUCCAUCAGUUUGUUCCCUCACUUUUAGAGCAAACAGGCUACCAAACCAGCAACACAUCCUGCUAUGGACAUACUUUGUACCAGAGGACAGUCCUGGCCCAGUUCAUAAUCUCCCAGAUGCCUUGGACACUCGUCUCCUAGGUGCCACAUGCCAGCUCUGCUUCACCUCCGAGUGUGACAUUGUAAUCAAUCUUUCGGACAAAAAUGACAGCAUUUCACAAGGAGCACCAAUCCUUUGGGCUUACUAAAAUAAAAAUAGCCAGCACACCUCCCAAUGGCAACCUGCAAGUUCCAGUGUAAAGACGUGCAACAUUUUCUUCCUAACGACACGCUCCAGUGUUCUACACUACUACACUGUAUUCACCGGGCUCAAUAAGUUUUCCUUCCCACAAGCUUUGAGAUAAUGCAUCCACCUUGACAGGUUAUUACUCUAAUCAACACGAUUCAGUCAACAUAUCACUAUAAUAAAGCCGACUUUAAAGAAGAGUGAGCGGCUGGUGGGCAAAUGAUAUAUCGGAAGAACAAACAAACAACAG